GCCUGGGUGGCUCAGUUGGUUGAGCGUCCGACUUCGGCUCAGGUCAUGAUCUCAUGGUCCGUGGGUUCGAGCCCCACGUCAGGCU
rnacentral:tRNA from 1 species